rnacentral:rRNA from 1 species
GGAUGCGAUCAUGCCAGCACUAAAGCACCGGAUCCCAUCAGAACUAAGAAGUUAAGCGUGCUUGGGCGAGAGUAGUACUAGGAUGGGUGACCUGCUGGGAAGUCUUUGUGUUGCAUUCC